rnacentral:rRNA from 1 species
CUCGUAGGCGGUUUGGUCAGUCAGAUGUGAAAGCCCACGGCUCAACCGUGGAACUGCAUUUGAUACUGCCAGACUUGAGUGUCGGAGAGGGUGGCGGAAUUCCGGGUGUAGGAGUGAAAUCCGUAGAUAUCCGGAGGAACACCAGUGGCGAAGGCGGCCACCUGGACGACAACUGACGCUGAGGAGCGAAAGCGUGGGGAGCAAACA